rnacentral:misc_RNA from 1 species
GAUGAAGAACGCAGCGAAAUGCGAUAAGUAGUGUGAAUUGCAGAAUUCAGUGAAUCAUCGAAUCUUUGAACGCACAUUGCGGCCAUAGGUAUUCCUUUGGCCAUGCCUGUUCGAGCGUCAUUUACACCCUCAAGCCUAGCUUGGUGUUGGGCGCCUGUCCCGCCGUUUUCGCGCGCGGACUCGCCUCAAAGUCAUUGGCGGCGGUCGUGCCGGCCCCCUCGCGCAGCACAUUUGCGCUUCUCGGAGGCCCGGCGGAUCCGCGCUCCAGCAAGACCUUUCACGACUUGACCUCGGAUCAGGUAGGGAUACCCGCUGAACUUAAGCAUAUCAAUAAGCGGAGG